rnacentral:tRNA from 1 species
GAGGGUAUGGCUCAGUGGUAGAGCGCAUGCUUAGCAUGAACAGGGCCGUGGGUUCCAUCCCCAGUACCUCCG